AAACGAAACAGGGCAGAACAUCGCCCUGUCUGCCUAACGUGGUGUGGGUACUGAUGAGUAGCCAAAA
rnacentral:hammerhead_ribozyme from 1 species